rnacentral:rRNA from 1 species
ACUCCUACGGGAGGCAGCAGUGGGGAAUUUUGGACAAUGGGCGAAAGCCUGAUCCAGCAAUGCCGCGUGAGUGAAGAAGGCCUUCGGGUUGUAAAGCUCUUUUGUCAGGGAAGAAACGGUGAAAGCUAAUAUCUUUUGCUAAUGACGGUACCUGAAGAAUAAGCACCGGCUAACUACGUGCCAGCAGCCGCGGUAAUACGUAGGGUGCAAGCGUUAAUCGGAAUUACUGGGCGUAAAGCGUGCGCAGGCGGUUUUGUAAGUCUGAUGUGAAAUCCCCGGGCUCAACCUGGGAAUUGCAUUGGAGACUGCAAGGCUAGAAUCUGGCAGAGGGGGGUAGAAUUCCACGUGUAUCAGUGAAAUGCGUAGAUAUGUGGAGGAACACCGAUGGCGAAGGCAGCCCCCUGGGUCAAGAUUGACGCUCAUGCACGAAAGCGUGGGGAGCAAACAGGAUUAGAUACCCCUGUAGUCCCAU